GACCGCGUAGCCCAGUCGGAAGAGCAUUGGGCUAGUAUUCCAAAGGUCGUAGGUUCGAAUCCCGCCGUGGCCA
rnacentral:tRNA from 1 species